rnacentral:rRNA from 1 species
UACGUAGGUGGCAAGCGUUUGUCCGGAUUUAUUGGGUUUAAAAGGGUGCGUAGGCGGCUUUGUAAGUCAGUGGUGAAAUAUGGCAGCUCAACUGUCAAGGUGCCAUUGAUACUGCAGAGCUUGAGUACAGAUGAGGUAGGCGGAAUUGACGGUGUAGCGGUGAAAUGCUUAGAUAUCGUCAAGAACACCUAUAGCGAAGGCAGCUUACUAGGCUGUAACUGACGCUGAGGCACGAAAAGUGUGGGGGAUCAAACAGG